CCCCCCCCCUGCGUGCUGCGGUGGGCACCAGAGAUGGGAUUUCGGUGUCCUUCCUCCCCAGCGCUCUUCCUCUUCCUCUUCCCUUCCUUCCCCUGCCUUUCCUCCUGCCCCUUCCUCCCUUAAUUCCCUCUUGAUCUCCCUCUUUCUUCAUUUCCUCCUGAUCCCCCUUUCUCCUCAUUCCCUCCUGAUCAUCCUUUCUCUUCCUUUCCUCCUGACUCUCCGAUCUGAACCCUGCCCCGGGGGCACCCCCUGAGCCCAAACCCUGCACUGGGGCACCCCCUGAGCCCAGACCCUGCCCUGGGGACACCCCCUGAGCCCAGACCCUGCCCCAUGCCAGGCCCGUUCGGACGAGGAGAGGGAAGCCUGGCUGAAGACCCUGCAGGCCAGGGAGCCAAAGAAGGGGGACGGGCCCCCCCCGAGACCCCCUAGGCCGAGCAGCCGCCCUGCUGCCGGGGGGCUUCUCCAGCGCCGUGUCCCCACCCCCAACACAUACAUGGACGAUCCCUUCGGGCAGCCCCCGCCGGCCGAGACCCCCGAACAGCAUCUCUACUCCAACGCGGAGCGGCUGCAGCAGCUGGUAACCUCUGCUGGUGCCCUUUGGCGACCCCGUUGGUGGGGGGAUCCCCCCUCACUGUCCCCUUGCCCACGGGCUUCUCCCUCCCGCAGCAGCAGAGCCUGGACCGGGCGGCGCCGGGGCAGCGCAGGAGACCCGUGUCCGCCCUGCCCGGCCGUGCCAGCCCCGCCCCGGGCAGCGCCCGGCCCCCGCGGGCAGCGCCAGGAGCAGCUCUCCGGGCCAGGCCUGCCAGCGCACAGCUGCCGAGGGACAGCGCCAACCUCCAGAGCAGGGAUUUCUCCCUCUCCCAUCACACCCUGACCCUGCCCGAGCGGAAGGGGACGCGGGACGGGCUCGAUGUCCUCAUCGGGAAAAAAGCUUUUCCCAAGCUGGAGGAGAAGGUGGAGCAGCUGGAGAGGGCGUGCCGAGCGAAGGGCAGGCUGAGAGCCGGCUCCGAGAUGAACCUGCUGGCCCUCGGCAAGUCACUCAAGGGUCACAUCGCGGCCACCGCCGGCUCGGCCGGCUCCGAGGGCUCGUUCCUCAGGCCGCUGCUGAAGCGCACCGCGUCCGCCCGGAGCGCGCUGAGGCCGCCCCCAUCCCCGCCCCCCCCCCCCCCCCCCCCCCCCCCGCGGGCAGGGGAAAUGUGCUGCAGAAAACAAAGGUAACCCCAAAAUCCGGGCCAGCGGGAAGGGUUUAGGCGAUCCCACAGCAAAAUGAGGGGUUGACCCCCCUCCCAUCAAUUUGUCCAGGAGUGGGAGAUGAAAUCUGCGCUGUGACCACCCAGAGGGCUUCGGGCUGCGCGUGGAUCGUGCAGGACCAGCCUGGAUUCAGCCUGGAAUUUGACUUUUAUCCGUCAGUAUCAACGCUACAACUACGCACAUCUAUUUUUUAUAUCCAGAUAUAUCGGUACUCACUUAUCAGCUCUCCACCCCUGGGCUUCCAGUCUCUCCCCGCUGCGUCCUCACCCAUCCCAGCAGCUCGUUUUUGGGGUACAACUUCAGGAGCUGCUGGCUCUGACCCCAGUCCACCAGCAGGACCCCAAUCCCCUCUGCCAGGACCCCAAAUUUACAGGGAUGGGGAUGGAUGAACCCUGGAUGCAGCAGUUGUGGGGGACACAAAUCUGGGAGGAAUCCGACUGUCCAUUCCCUGGAGUCAGCGGGACCCGGGCUGGGCCCUGGGUGGUUUUCCAACAGCUGAGCUUGUCAGGGCUUGGUUUGAAUUGGAGAAAUGCUAUUUUUUUUAAAGGAUUAAAAAAAAAAAAAAAAAAAAGUCGUAAAACUUGAGUUGUGCUGCAGAAAAGGGUGAGCUGGGAAUGGGGCGUGCUUGUCCUUGUCCUGAGUGCGGGAUCCAUCCCAGGGAAGAAGUUUGUGGGGUCAGACCUGAUCCAGUGAAAGGAGUUUGUGGGGUCAGUCCCCAUCCCAAAGAAGGAGUUUGUGGGGUCAGUCCAAAUCGCAGAGAAAGAGUUUGUGGGGCCCAUCUGGGGUGGGUUGAUGUCCCCCCGGUGUGUGGGGGUUUGGUCCCAUCCAGGUGUGUGGGGUCCAUCCCCAUCCCAAAGAAGGGGUUCGUGGGGGGUGUCCCAAUCCCAGUGCAAGGAGUUCGUGGGGUCAAUGCCGAUCCCAAAGAAAAGAGUUUGUGGGGUCAGUCCCCACCCCAAAGAAGGAGUUUGUGAGGGGUGUCCUGAUCCCGGUGGAAGGAGUUUGUGGGGUCAGUCCUGAUCCCAGAGAAAAGUGUUUGUGGAGUCAAUCCCGGUCCCGGUGCAGGAAUUCAUGGGGUCCAUCCCGGUGCGUUGAUCCACCCCCGGUGUGUGGGGCCCAUCCCCCUCCAGAACUGGCCCCCCCGGAGCAAUUUUCAUGGGGUCCAUCCCGGUGCCUUGAUCCCCCUCCGGUGUGUGGGGCCCAUCCCCCUCCAGAACUGGCCCCCCCGGAGCAAUUUUAGGGCUAAGGCACCUUCCCAGCCCCUCCAUCCCCCGCUUGUCCCUCCCACCCCGAUCCCGCCCCCCCCCCCCCCCCCCCCCCCCCCCCCCCCCCCCCCCCCCCCCCCCCCCCCCCCCCCCCCCCCCCCCCCCCC
rnacentral:lncRNA from 12 species